UCUCACCUGUCAUAGGCAGAGGUUGGGUGAGACCAGGCAUUCUCCAGGGAGGACCGUCAGCAUCAGGGUCACUGGGGGCCCAGGUAAAAAUGUGCAUGUCCAGCCCUCUGCGACCUCCAGGGGAGCUGCACACAACCCCAGGAGAGUGAGCACCUGGGAUUCUUUUGCGUGCUCAGAAGCAAGGAGUCCUGGGAGAUGAUCUCAGAGGUCCCUUCUGCUCUCAAAUUCUAAGAACCCCUGAGUUUUCUUCUAAAUAUCUGGCCAGGUCAGUACCAUGAAAUCAGGGACUUGUAGCUUCAAUGUGUUACAAAUAAGGUCUUGAAUUUUGAUGCAUUAUGUGAAAGAUAACAGGAAACAAGCCCAGAACAGUAUAGUUGGGUGGGUAGGGAAUCUCCGGGGGCCUUUUGCUUUUUGAGAGAAUAGAGGGAAACCUGUCUAACUGCUGCUCGGGAACUCGGCUUGGGGGGCUCUUCUCUGUACCUCAUUCAUUUCCUCUUUGCCCUCGGUCUCCUCGGUGUCAACAGAGACAGUUAUCCAGGCUUUUUAUAGUCCGGAGCCACCAAAUCCAGAAUCGUUCUAAUUGGCCUCCGUGUAUUAAGAAACUCCCACAGUGCACAGGCAGCCCACCUUCUUUGGAAUGAGUGAAAUCUUCCAGAAACCCAAAAUACAGGAAAGACCCUAACAAUUUGCAAGAAGGGAAAGUGAGCCCCUCGAACUCCCUGUGGCUGUCUUCCCAGACUGCGAGGCCUUCCCUAACCAGGACCCGGCUGAUGGACCCAAGAUCCGCCCCAGCGCCGGCCAAGAAGGGCGAAGGGCCCAACACGGAGGAAGUCACAUGCCCUGCGAAAGAGUUCCUUCUAUCUCAGAGGAGUAUUAGCUUCUUUAAUCUAAGAAGGCAAUGAGAGGUUUUUAAACUGAUUAAAUCAGCUUAGUUCAUACAAAGUCUAUUAUGACUAAAUAUUCAAUUAAAACAAUUUCCAAAGCAAAAUCUGACAAAAAUCCACUCUUAAAGUAAUUUAGAUGAUAGGUUCUUAACAUUUGGCAAAUUAAAUCCCUCUCAUGGUUGGUAUUUUCCUGAGGGUCAGAAAUAGUUGCAGAAGUUCAUUGGGACCAAAAAAAAAGAAAGAAAGAAAGAAAGAAAACCUACUCUGUGUACUUGUCAGGUUCCAAGAUCAUACACAGUAAAAACUGGAAAUCAUUAACAUGAGCCUAACAUUCCUAUUUUAUUUUAUUUUUACUCCAAAGGCUACAUACAGGCAAAAGUUAAACAUGUCAUCACAAAUGCUUUAAAUAAAAAUAAAAAUUCCAAAAAUAAAAAUUCCUCAAAAUCCAUUUACUUUAUGGAAAUAUAUAUGACAAUUAUACUGAAGUUGAUUUUAUCCUUUUUUUCUCAUCAAUCAGAAAAAUACGUAUAUUAUAAAAAAGAAUUUCAUGUCCAGAAUAACUUUUUUUUUUUAAAUCCUUGAGGAAUAAUUCUAAAAGAAGCUGAAUGUUCAGAGAAAUGUGUGUCGUUGAGAGAUACAAGUCCCAGACUUUUGCUAUAUGGACUCCAUAUUCUUAUACCUCAUAGUAGAACUGCUGAAAAAACUUGAGUUUAGAAAAAAGCACUUUUAAAAACGAUGAUUGGUGAUUAUCAUGGCUGACGUGGUGAGCGAUGGGAGGGAAGGGGAGGGACUGUCACCCACAGGCGCUGUCGACGGUCGACUGUCUGAAUGGAGAGUCUUACUCAGGGACCGGAGCUGCCUGCCACAGGGUCUGGAAGUCCUGGUACCUCGAGGUCUGGGCCACGUGUGCCUGUACCAGUUCCCACGACUCCAGGUGGCCAGGAGGAGCAGGCACCUCCUGCACCUGCCCUCGCCCAGGUAAAAGCACCCAGUGGGACAAAGCUGAGUGAGGAGAACCGGCCCGUUUUGAGCGGGUCCCCCCGAUCCCCACUCGGCCGUUUUCCUCUCCUGAGACUGGUGUUUCUUUUGCAGUGAUUACAGUGUAUGUCAGCAUCACCAACAGUCAAUAUAGGCAGGAGGCGCUCAAAGCUCAGGGCUGGGAAUGCUCACGUGAAUCUCGGAAAGGAGAUCGAAGCUCCUUGUCCUAGGUGACAAUGCAGGGGACAGCUGCCAGGCUAGAGGGCAUGGGGAUCCCGAUUGACGGAUCAGGGCGGAUCAGAGGAGCAGGGCUCUUUCAACAAAACGUGAUCGAGGGGAUCUGGGAAGUCCUCAGUGGGGGAAAACACACCUCAACAGUGGAAGAAGCUCAGUUCAAACACUGAAAAAAAUGAUGGAUUCCUCUUUCAAUUGGAAACAGCAGGUUUACUACUAGGAGAAAUCCCGGGCCGAGGCUCUGAGCCAUCCAUGGAAAAGGCCCAGCUGAAAUUCUGGUUGGACCUAUUUCCAUGGAGGGUCCGAAAGACUUGGAGCCUGAUUUCUAUUCUGAUACUAAAAUGUGCUUGUACUUUUCAUGUGAGGCAACUCUGACUGUUGCUUCCCUUUUACGGCUUAAGGAAAAAAAAAAGUUUUAAAACAGAAAAUAAGAGAGAGGUGUGUAAUGUCAGGGCAAAAUCAGCCUAAGUGUGGUUUUUCUUUUCCCUGGGACAGAAGAAACAAUGGCCACAGCUCAUGGUUUGCAGGGAUGUGUCACAACAACCAACCCAGAGCCAGGCUCCCCCAGCAAGUGCUCAGACUAGCUGGUACAUGGGGCUUCAAAGACUCAUUAACUAGGGGAAGCCGGGCCAUUCAGAGUGAACAGGGAGUGCAGAAAACAACAAUUAGCCCGAGGAAGGAAUUUUAAAGGGCCAAAAAAAAAAAAAAAAAA